rnacentral:rRNA from 1 species
AACGGCCAUAUCAUGCUGAAUAUACCGGUUCUCGUUAGAUCACCGAAGUCAAGCAUCAUUGGGCGCGGUCAGUACUUGGGUGGGUGACCACCUGGGAACGUCGCGUGC